rnacentral:tRNA from 1 species
CCCAGCAUGACAUAGUGGUUUGAGUGUUGGACUAUGACUUGGAAGACCAGGGUUCAAAUCCCAGCUCAGCCA